AUCUAGCUGACGAGUUCAAAAUAGGACGAAACAUGCGUCGAAUUGGAU
rfam:Schistosoma margrebowiei strain Zambia genome assembly, scaffold: SMRZ_contig0001337